rnacentral:piRNA from 1 species
GUUCCCCAAGUCUUACACUGC